GACGACGCGUGGCGGCGUGGAUUAGGCAUGCAAGUCGAACGGUAUCAUCCUUUCGGGGGUGAGAGAGUGGCGAACUGGUGAGUAACACGUAGGUUAUCUACCCUCAAGACGGGACAACCCAGGGAAACUUGGGCUAAUACCGGAUGUGAGCAACUUUUAGUUGUUUGAAAGGUGGCGUAAGCUGUCGCUUGGGGAUGAGCCUGCGUCCUAUUAGUUAGUUGGUGAGGUAACGGCUCACCUAGGCAAUGAUAGGUAGGCGGCCUUAACGGGUGGUCGCCCACACUGGGAUUGAGAUACGGCCCAGACUCCUACGGGAGGCAGCAGUCGAGAAUAGUCUACAAUGGUCGGAAGACUGAUAGUGCGACGCCGCGUGAACGAUGAAUCCCUUCGGGGUGUAAAGUUCUUUUAUAUGUGAGCAGUGCUUCUUAUAUUAACAGUAUGGGGAGAGAGAUAUUAGCAUAUGAAUAAGCAACGGCUAACUCCGUG
rnacentral:rRNA from 1 species